UCCUGCACAAAUUAAGCAUCUCAAUAACUAUUUCAAUUCAAUUUUAACAUAUGAUAUUGAUAUGAAUUAGAAUAUGCUUACUUGAGAGAUUUUUGAAGAGCAGGAACAACAAGAUGAGGAUGAUUUUGAGUGAUCCAAAGUUUAGAAGUAACAAAAAGGUCUUCUCUAGUGACAAGACCAAGUUGACAUGCUUGUUUCAAAGCUUCUCCAAGAGCUUGUUCAGAGCCAUAUGCAGCAGCAGUAUCAAAGUGUCUAUAACCUUGUUUGAUUGCUUCUAUGAUUGCUUCUUUUGUGUCUUUCUUACAUGUGAAAUCAGGUGCUGAUCCCAUUCCUAUAACUGGCAUCUUCACUUGUUCUUUUGUGUUGACAAGAACCUUUGUUGGGAUUUCAAUAGCACUACCCAUGUUUUUGUUUUUGACGUUGUUGGAUUGGGAAAUUUUCAAUUUAAGAUUCUGUUAUUCUUUGUGUUGUGACUGAUGAUGGACUUAACUUAAUCUGCUGUAACCUUUUUAUAGCUAGAAAAAUUGAUACCUACUCACAAUAUUUAUCGUACUUGAUUAUUUGAUACAAAUUAAUAAAAAAGAAAAAUUAUUAAUUUAUUUUUAUUAUUUAUUGUUGUAUUUUUAUUAUAACAAAUAUAAAAUAAAAAAUAAUUUUUUAAAGUAAUAUAAAUUAUAUUAAUUGAAGAAUAUAAUUAAAAAAUAAUUACAUUGAAAAGAAAAAUAUUAAUUUUUUAAAAUAAAUAUUUUUUUUUUUUAUAAAUAUGAGAAUUAUCGAGUAAGAAUAAAAAUACAUUAUUUAUACUUUUUGAUUGGCACUCCAAUUAACUAACUCCAAUAGCUUUGGUGAGUCCAAGUUUCAAACAUUCUUCCAUUGAUUCCCACACACCUUUCACAUCAAAUGGUAAGAGAUCUGCCACAUCUAUUGGAAAUGAAAACUUUCCAGGCUGAGAACUUAGUGGCCAAUGAAUCAAAUACAAAUCCAAGUAUUCCAAUUGAAGAGUCCUGCACAAAUUAAGCAUCUCAAUAACUAUUUCAAUUCAAUUUUAACAUAUGAUAUUGAUAUGAAUUAGAAUAUGCUUACUUGAGAGAUUUUUGAAGAGCAGGAACAACAAGAUGAGGAUGAUUUUGAGUGAUCCAAAGUUUAGAAGUAACAAAAAGGUCUUCUCUAGUGACAAGACCAAGUUGACAUGCUUGUUUCAAAGCUUCUCCAAGAGCUUGUUCAGAGCCAUAUGCAGCAGCAGUAUCAAAGUGUCUAUAACCUUGUUUGAUUGCUUCUAUGAUUGCUUCUUUUGUGUCUUUCUUACAUGUGAAAUCAG
rnacentral:lncRNA from 1 species